rnacentral:rRNA from 1 species
CAGUAGCCGCGGUAAUACGAAGGGUGCAAGCGUUACUCGGAAUUACUGGGCGUAAAGCGUGCGUAGGUGGUUGUUUAAGUCUGCUGUGAAAGCCAUGGGCUCAACCUGGGAAUUGCAGUGGAUACUGGGCAACUAGAGUAAGGUAGAGGAUAGUGGAAUUUCCGGUGUAGCAGUGAAAUGCGUAGAGAUCGGAAGGAACAUCUGUGGCGAAGGCGACUAUCUGGGCCAUUACUGACACUGAGGCACGAAAGCGUGGGGAGCAAACAGGAUUAGAUACCCCAGUAGUCCCUGUCUCUUAUAC